GGCGACACCCAGGGAUAAUUGAAUUUUUUGAAGCACGGCUUUAUAGUUAUGGCUAAAUUCUGUGUGGACAAGUUUGCUACAGUGUGCAAAACUCUCACAACCG
rnacentral:ribozyme from 1 species